UUGUGACAUGAUGUGUAACCAUCUUUCGGGACUUACCCAAUAAUGGUGAUUUUUAUUAUUCACUGAUCAUUU
ensembl:snoRNA Small nucleolar RNA SNORD2